AAAACGACUCUCGGCAACGGAUAUCUCGGCUCUCGCAUCGAUGAAGAACGUAGCGAAAUGCGAUACUUGGUGUGAAUUGCAGAAUCCCGUGAACCWUCGAGUUUUUGAACGCAAKUUGCGCCCAAAGCCAUUAGGCUAAGGGCACGUYUGCCUGGGCGUCACGCAUCACGUCGCCC
rnacentral:rRNA from 1 species